rnacentral:rRNA from 1 species
CAAAAAGCGUGAUAGAGCUUUGCCUGCUAUCUCUUACCCAUGUCUUUUGAGUACCUUACGUUUCCUCGGUGGGUUCGCCCACCGAUUGGACAAAUUUAAACCCUUUGCAGUUGAAAUCAGCGUCUGAAAAAACUUAAUAGUUACAACUUUCAACAACGGAUCUCUUGGUUCUGGCAUCGAUGAAGAACGCAGCGAAAUGCGAUAAGUAGUGUGAAUUGCAGAAUUCAGUGAAUCAUCGAAUCUUUGAACGCACAUUGCGCCCCUUGGUAUUCCAUGGGGCAUGCCUGUUCGAGCGUCAUUUGUACCUUCAAGCUCUGCUUGGUGUUGGGUGUUUGUCUCCUGUAGACUCGCCUCAAAACAAUUGGCAGCCGGCGUAUUGAUUUCGGAGCGCAGUACAUCUCGCGCUUUGCACUCAUAACGACGACAUCCAAAAGUACAUUUUUACACUCUUGACCUCGGAUCAGGUAGGGAUACCCGCUGAACUUAAGCAUAUCAAAGGGGCGGAGGA